UAUUUAAUAGGUUGUUGGGA
rnacentral:miRNA from 1 species